rnacentral:rRNA from 1 species
CAGUAGCCGCGGGAAUACGUAGGGUCCGAGCGUUGUCCGGAAUUAUUGGGCGUAAAGGGCUCGUAGGCGGUUUGUCGCGUCGGGAGUGAAAUCCAGCAGCUUAACUGCUGGCCUGCUUUCGAUACGGGCAGACUUGAGGCAUUCAGGGGAGAACGGAAUUCCUGGUGUAGCGGUGAAAUGCGCAGAUAUCAGGAGGAACACCGGUGGCGAAGGCGGUUCUCUGGGAAUGUUCUGACGCUGAGGAGCGAAAGUGUGGGGAGCGAACAGGAUUAGAUACCCCGGUAGUCCCUGUCUCUUAUAC